UUCCAGACUCCUACGGGAGGCAGCAGUGGGGGAUAUUGCACAAUGGGGGGAACCCUGAUGCAGCGACGCCGCGUGGGUGAAGGAGCGUUUCGGCGCGUAAAGCCCUAUCGGCAGGGAAGAAGGAGGACGGUACCUGACUAAGAAGCCCCGGCUAACUACGUGCCAGCAGCCGCGGUAAUACGUAGGGGGCAAGCGUUAUCCGGAUUUACUGGGUGUAAAGGGAGCGUAGACGGCAGUGCAAGUCCGGAGUGAAAGCCCGGGGCUCAACCCUGGGACUGCUCUGGAAACUGUAAAGCUGGAGUGCGGGAGGGGCAGGCGGAAUUCCUGGUGUAGCGGUGAAAUGCGUAGAUAUCAGGAGGAACACCGGCGGCGAAGGCGGCCUGCUGGACCGUAACUGACGUUGAGGCUCGAAAGCGUGGGGAGCAAACAGGAUUAGAUACCCCCGUA
rnacentral:rRNA from 1 species